rnacentral:rRNA from 1 species
AGAGUUUGAUCAUGGCUCAGAUUGAACGCUGGCGGCAUGCUUUACACAUGCAAGUCGAACGGGCAGGCCGCGGGGGGGCAAACCCCUGGCGGCGAGUGGCGAACGGGUGAGUAAUGCAUCGGAACGUAUCCUGUAAUGGGGGAUAACGUAGCGAAAGUUACGCUAAUACCGCAUACGCUCGAGAGAGGAAAGUGGGGGAUCGCAAGACCUCACGUUAUAGGAGCGGCCGAUGUCCGAUUAGCUAGUUGGUGGGGUAAAGGCCUACCAAGGCGACGAUCGGUAGCUGGUCUGAGAGGAUGAUCAGCCACACUGGGACUGAGACACGGCCCAGACUCCUACGGGAGGCAGCAGUGGGGAAUUUUGGACAAUGGGCGAAAGCCUGAUCCAGCCAUGCCGCGUGCGGGAAGAAGGCCUUCGGGUUGUAAACCGCUUUAGUCCGGGAAAAAGGGGUGCGAGGAUAAUACCCUCGUGCUUUGAUGGUACUGGAAGAAUAAGCACCGGCUAACUACGUG